rnacentral:rRNA from 1 species
CCCUUAGAUGUCCGGGGCCGCACGCGCGCUACAAUGGAUGAAUCAACGCGUCAUCCUGGCCCGAAAGGGUUGGGGAACCGCUGAACCUCAUCCGUGGUUGGGAUUGGGGUUUGUAAUUAUUCCCCAUGAACUAGGAAUUCCCAGUAAGCGCGAGUCAUAAGCUCGCGUUGAUUACGUCCCUGCCCUUUGUACACACCGCCCGUCGCUACUACCGAUUGGAUGGUUUAGUGAGAUCCUCGGAUUGGUCACGGCACGGUGGCAACACUGCGUCGGUGUGUCGAGAAGACGAUCAAACUUGAUCAUCUAGAGGAAGUAAAAGUCGUAACA